rnacentral:rRNA from 1 species
UACAGAGGUCCCAAGCGUUGUUCGGAUUCACUGGGCGUAAAGGGUGCGUAGGCGGCCCGGUAAGUCAGUGGUGAAAGCCUCCAGCUCAACUGGAGAACUGCCAUUGAUACUGCCGGGCUUGAGUACAGACGAGGUUGGCGGAAUUGAUUGUGUAGCGGUGAAAUGCAUAGAUACAAUCAAGAACUCCGAUUGCGUAGGCAGCUAACUAGGCUGUAACUGACGCUGGAGGCACGAAAGCGUGGGGAGCGAACAGG